GCCCGUGAUGCCGCCCCGGGCAACCGCCCGUGUCGCCCGUAUCUAAAACCGCUACUGAUGAGAUCCAAAUAUAUGCCAAUGUCAACACAUGUUCAUGUUGAUGAGGUUUACUGAACAAAUUUGAAUCAUCACAACAACCAAAAUGUUAGCAACACAUUAUAAAGUUUAUUAUUAUCACUAUGGUAACCAUGUUUAUGUUUGUUACCUGCUAACUCAAACACAUUCUGUAGGUGUCACAUUUUGAGGACUAUAAUAAAGGAGGAUACUGUGGGUGUUGGAGAGGACCCACUGAAAAAUGUGAGUGCACGAAAGGAUCUCACAGAUGAACAUGUGGCCCCUGACACUCCAGCCACCUCUUCUGCACCAGUCUCACCUCCAGCUGAGGCUCAGACGAACAAAUCAAAGAAGGCUUCCUGGUGGCGCAGAUGGCUUUUUUUUUGAGAAAAAGUCAAAGGUUUUUCCCAAAAAUGAAGACAAGGCAGAAGACACGGUCGUGCCACCUUCUGAACCCCAACAGAGUACCAUCAGCACUGAAA